GAGUGCUGUGCAUCUGCCCUGAUUUAAACAUCUUCGGACAUAUCAUCCUUUCCGUUAGCAGUAUGGAAGGGUUAUAUUGUAUUUACUCCUGAUGCUGGGAAUUUCAGAGAUUAGAGGGUUUGCCAAAGAAGUACGGUGGGCACAAGAGAAGACUGCCUCCCAACAACCGGAGACUUAAACACAGACUGGGAAGCCGGAAUGUGAAUGGGAAUCAUGAUAGGACACUGAGCAUUAAAAAAAGAAAUACUUUGUUCGAAGCAGCCAUCUUGAUCACUCCAAUAACCCAUCAGCAACGAAGAAGAAGAAUCUUUUCUUCUUUGGACUUCUGUCAAUCUUCAUAUGCAACAUAAGCUUGUAUCUCAAAAGACCACCUAGAUCUGCUCCCUAGCAUGGACCACUAAUUCUUACAGCCACACCAUACCACACCACAGGAGAC
rnacentral:lncRNA from 1 species